GCCAUGUACUGCAGCUAAAUUUAAGAUAAGGAAAAUGGGUUUGAAAGGAAAUAAACUCACAAGCAGUGUAAAUAAUAUCAUUUGUCCUCGCAAAGAAAAAUACCAUUUGAGGUUGUUUUACGGUGCCUGGUAUAGAAAGCUGGUCAAGCCAAUGAUACUCCAAUCAAAGUUUAUAGUUUUCAAAAUAUUAUAUAUAAAAUAACGUGAUGCUUGAUUAGACUUUAAUUUCCUUCAAUUUUGGCACUUCCGAACAUGGUCUGAAUUCGGUAGCAUCUCAAUCCUGCAAAACCGUGAAGUUCAAAUUACAAGUUGAAAGGAGAAUGCUAGUAAAAAAUAAAUUAAUCAAAUAACUGAGCAAUGAAAUCAAGGAGUCCUCACAGUGUGAUUUUGAAUUGUUCAAUUUCACCGGCAAAGGCGGACAACCCUUGCCUCCCACUCCAUUGUCAGAACUGGAUGUUCGAUUUAAUUAAAGAACUAAUCAAACAGUGAAACAAGAUUCAUAAAUAAAGCAUAACAACAAUAUACGUAAAAGCAAAAUUAAAAAUUAACUUAUUUUCGUCUAUACUUCAUGUCUGGAUUACUAACCUGCAAGGUAAGAAGCAGGCAACUGCACCUCAUUGUGGGUGAGCUCACGGAGAAGAAGACAGAUGCGCAAUGCCUGAUGCCUUUGUUGGACAGGAUUCAGAUUUUUCAGAGCAGCACCGCAAGGCUUUCCUUGCGCUUCCAAGCAGAGCAGCUGCUAAUCCUGGCAUAGUGGCAUUGCUAUUUGCCUAAUCUGCACAUUUGAAAUUAGGGGGCAAAAGUUCUAUAGCACACUGCACCCACAGCACAUGCUGUGCUGACUGCCGACACAGCAGCGCGUUUUCUCCCUCGCUCGCUCUAAUUUCAGUUCUUAGCAAGUCAGUCGGCAUAUCGCAGGGGCUUAAAUGGAGCGUCAAAUGUCCGUGUGGUCGGGUCGUGAGCAACGCACCUUGUGGUCAGAUUCAGAGGCGGAGGCGAGUGCGAGCAGGGCAGCGAUGGUGAUGGUGAGGCCGAG
rnacentral:lncRNA from 1 species